UUUUACAAGCUCAGCUCCCUCUAUCCCUUCCAGCAUCCUCAUCUCUGAUUAAAUAAGCUUCAGUUUUUCCUUAGUUCCUGUUACAUUUCUGUGUGUCUCCAUUAGUGACCUCCCAUAGUCCAAGCAUGAGCAGUUCUGGCCAGGCCCCUGUCGGGGUCAGUGCCCCACCCCCGCCUUCUGGUUCUGUGUAACCUUCUAAGCAAACCUUCUGGCUCAAGCACAGCAAUGCUGAGUCAUGAUGAGUCAUGCUGAGGCUUAGGGUGUGUGCCCAGAUGUUCUCAGCCUAGAGUGAUGACUCCUAUCUGGGUCCCCAGCAGGAUGCUUACAGGGCAGAUGGCAAAAAAAAGGAGAAGCUGACCACCUGACUAAAACUCCACCUCAAACGGCAUCAUAAAGAAAAUGGAUGCCUG
rnacentral:lncRNA from 1 species